GAGAAAAAUGAGAAGGGAGAAAUAAAUUCAAGGGUCCGGGAAAUGGACAGUGAAAGUGCCCUGGAAACAGCAUGUAUGUUUGCUCCAUUUUUUUUUUUUUUUUAAAGAAGAGAAUAUUGAAGGGGCAUUAAUCAGAUUGUUAAAAACCUGGCAGAAUAAAUGUGUCAACAAAACUCCUUUUUUACCCACAUUCUAUUAAAACACUUUGAAGGAUUUCUAUGGAAACAGUAGGCUGUUACAAUGGGAAAUACCCAGCAUAACUGAAAAUGUCAAUCUUCCUUUCAGCAGUGAACUGGCCAUAAAUAGAGAUUCAGUGGAGCAAAACUGGUAUCACUUGGAAGCAGAGCUUCAAGUACAUCAACAAAGGAAUACUUACAGUCCAAGACAAAGCAUGUGAUUGCCUCUGAAAACCUGGAUACAGAUCUACUCAAGUCUGGAACCACAUCUGAUUUAUGGAGCACAGUAUUGCGUCUCAUACCACCUACUACAGCAACAAGCCUUGUACAUCAUUACUAGUGAAAUACAAUUCCUUUCAACUAAAAAGUGUCUUCAGGGUAGCACAUGUUGACCAUUCUUAUUGUUUAUUCAAUUUGUCCCUUCUUAUAUUCUCACCUCUACUACCUGCAUUUUCUUUCUAUCCCAGAUCUGAAUCUCUUUUUCUGUAUGUCAGCAAAAGCAAUGGUGCCUGUCUCACUCCAGCCUAAUUAUGGCCUUGAUUGUCAGUUAUAAUCUCAACUCCAAUCAAAUUGUAUUCUCCAAGAGAAAACAAGCCCUGAUUUUCUAUAAUGCAGCUAUUGAUACGUGCAGGCUACCUCAUCCUGUGGACUUGUGAAGUCCUGUCAUGCCAGUAACUUCCUGCAUUUAAGGGGUACUCUGAAAGUAAUCAGCAGCAGAUGUUGGUAGUAUGGCAGUAGAGACUGAACCUUCUUGUAAAUAUUCCAUUUCAUUUUGUUUCUAUGUGACAGAUGGCAGCAGAGGGGCAGUCCAAUAAAAUGAUGUCUGACAGGGAACUGUAUGAAGCAAAGGUGUGGAACUGAAUUCCUCCAUUUGGAAAAAAUGACACCCACUGGCAUUCAUCAGUGCUUACUGAACAUUUAUGGAGACCAAACAGUAAAUAUGAUCACAGUGAGGCAACGGGUGGUGAUCUUCAGCAGCUGCAAGAAUGACAUUGGAUCACCUCUGUUGGUGCAGAUUUUUCUGAGCGUGGCACACAGGCUCUUGUUCAAUGAUGGCAGAAGUAGUGCUUUGUAGCUGAGUAUUUGCUCUAUUGAAUAGUUAUAUUGUGCUUUAUAUAUGUUGUAGUUUCCAGUUUCCAUGGAAAUAAAUAGAAGGCAUGACUUUUGGAGCUACCUACUUCUUUUUUCUGGUUCAGUUUUUGUGUGUGUGUGUGCGUGUGUGCACAUGUGUUUGUUUAAAUUGGUUUGUUUGGUUUGCUUUUUAGCAUCUUAAAGCAUCCAUCUGGAUUCCACCCAACUAAAUACAUGCACAAGAUAAUGAAAUAUGAUACUGUCUGCUAAUGUGAUUCAUUUCACAUAAAUGGUUAUUGGAGAGCCAUAUUUCAAGACUAUGAGAUCC
rnacentral:lncRNA from 1 species